rnacentral:rRNA from 1 species
AUUGAACGCUGGCGGCAGGCCUAACACAUGCAAGUCGAACGGGUGGCGGACGGGUGAGUAAUGUCUGGGAAACUGCCUGAUGGAGGGGGAUAACUACGGGAAACGGUAGCUAAUACCGCAUACCAUCGGAUGUGCCCAGAUGGGAUUAGCUAGUCGGUGGGGUAAAGGCUCACCUAGGCGACGAUCCCUAGCUGGUCUGAGAGGAUGACCAGCCACAAGGGGACUGAGACACGGUCCAGACUCCUACGGGAGGCAGCAGUGGGGAAUAUUGGACAAUGGGCGCAAGCCUGAUGCAGCCAUGCCGCGUGUAUGAAGAAGGCCUUCGGUUUGUAAAGUACUUUCAGCGGAGAGGCGUUAUCCGCCGAGGAAGCACCGGCUAACUCCGUGCCAGCCGCCGCGGUAAUUC